UACAGAGGUCUCAAGCGUUGUUCGGAUUCAUUGGGCGUAAAGGGUGCGUAGGCGGCGCGGUAAGUCGGGUGUGAAAUCUUGGAGCUUAACUCCGAAACUGCAUUCGAUACUGCCGUGCUUGAGGACUGGAGAGGAGACUGGAAUUUACGGUGUAGCGGUGAAAUGCGUAGAUAUCGUAAGGAAGACCAGUGGCGAAGGCGGGUCUCUGGACAGUUCCUGACGCUGAGGCGCGAAGGCCAGGGGGAGCAAAACGGGG
rnacentral:rRNA from 1 species